GACGAACGCUGGCGGCGUGCUUAACACAUGCAAGUCGAACGGAAAGGCCCUGCUUUUGUGGGGUGCUCGAGUGGCGAACGGGUGAGUAACACGUGAGUAACCUGCCCUUGACUUUGGGAUAACUUCAGGAAACUGGGGCUAAUACCGGAUAGGAGCUCCUGCUGCAUGGUGGGGGUUGGAAAGUUUCGGCGGUUGGGGAUGGACUCGCGGCUUAUCAGCUUGUUGGUGGGGUAGUGGCUUACCAAGGCUUUGACGGGUAGCCGGCCUGAGAGGGUGACCGGCCACAUUGGGACUGAGAUACGGCCCAGACUGCUACGUGAGGCAGCAGUGGGGAAUAUUGCACAAUGGGCGGAAGCCUGAUGCAGCAACGCCGCGUGCGGGAUGACGUCCUUCGGGUUGUAAACCGCUUUCGCCUGUGACGAAGCGUGAGUGACGGUAAUGGGUAAAGAAGCACCGGCUAACUACGUG
rnacentral:rRNA from 1 species